rnacentral:rRNA from 1 species
UACGUAGGGGGCAAGCGUUAUCCGGAUUUACUGGGUGUAAAGCGAGUGUAGACGGCUGCACAAGUCCGAUGUGAAAUUCCGCGGCUCAACUGCGGGACUGCAUUGGAAACUGUGCUGCUGGAGUGUCGGAGAGGUAAGUGGAAUUCCUAGUGUAGCGGUGAAAUGCGUAGAUAUUAGGAGGAACACCAGUGGCGAAGGCGGCUUACUGGACGACAACUGACGUUGAGACUCGAAAGCGUGGGGAGCAAAC